UUGAGUAACGUUAUUGUGUAUUCUACGUAAUGAUCGCAACGACAUCGACAUCACAACAUCACAACACGCAACGACAUCACAACGUCAUUUAGAAACUUUUAGCCACAAAUCAACCUGCCUCUAGCAACUUACCCUGAAAAUUAGUUGGCAACACUGGUUCUAGCAUUAAUUUAUUGAGGCAAGCAGAUCAGAGAUGUCAAGGUGGUACUCAAGCAUAUGCCAUGUGUUUGUGAUACAUGUAUGGUCAUAUUUUUUAUGUUUUAUUUCGUUUAUUUUGCCUCCCAGGUAUUUGCAUUGAAUGUAUGUAUAUAAUUACUGCUGCUAGGGGAGCUGCGAAGUCAAUGAAGUGAGUUAGUGAGAUAUUUAACAUUUCGUCUUCAUUAUGGAGAAUGACUGGUUGCUAAUGGUUUACAUGAACGAGAAAGGAUCAACAUGGCGUCCAAACUUUCUGUACUUUUCUUUUCAACGUUUUAGAUGCAAUUUGUUUUACUUUCUAUGAACAAAGACUCAGUUUACUUUAGAUGUAUGGUGACUCCCCGUUUGGAUGAACGGACCAACGGGACUGCCAUGGGAAAGUUCCUUGACGGGUACCAGGAAUGGUGGAAGGACAAUCUGAUGGUCACUGAUAUUUCACCUGAUGUGGUGGAAGUUGUCGAACCAGAUCAGAACGCCUUCGAAGACCACCUUCAGGCACAGACUGAGAAGGAUGUUGAGGUUUUUGACCAGUCAAGGUGAGACUGAACAUGAACAGGGCGCAUGAGAAAAAGGAGAGCCACCUGAGAAGAAUCAAGGGGACCUAGUGCUUCGACAUCUGGGUGAAUUACUUGGUUUAGAAGAAGGACGAAAGGAAGGCGAGACCCGGGAUAGCUUGGUGCUCUUUCGCUCCUAGCUGGGGUCAACUGUUCUCCAGGACCUAGGGGUUCUGCCUAACACCCAGACAUGGAUCCACUACCAUUAACAACCACCCUCCAACGUUUCAUUACAUCAGCUACUGUUAUUGUCAAGUUGUCAUUAUCUGCUAAGAAAGAGCAAGACAACUAUCAUACGGGGCACAUAAUGUGGGUUGCACAGAUUAGCUAAAAACACUAGCACUGCAAACACUCAGAACAAAGAGGUCAGCAGCGCCUGGACUUUGGAGUUUCCCUCUGAGUCCACUACAUGUUGAAAAACAAGUGACAGGCAGAACCUCCUAUCCACACAAGACCCACCUCUCUAUUCCACACACCAUAAUUCUGUAUUUCAGUCUAUGAUUGCCAUGUGAGUGUACAAAAAAUCUGAAAGUAAAUUGACACGCGUACCAAAAAAAUAUCAAUGGUUAUGUAUUUAAAUCAAAAAAUAUUACUAGA